rnacentral:rRNA from 1 species
UUCCGGUUGAUCCUGCCAGACCCGACUGCUAUCAGAGUAGGACUAAGCCAUGCGAGUCAACGCCGUAGGGCGUGGCAUACGGCUCAGUAACACGUAGUCAACAUGCCCAAAGGACGUGGAUAACCUCGGGAAACUGAGGAUAAACCGCGAUAGGCCAAGGUUUCUGGAAUGAGCCAUGGCCGAAAUCUAUAUGGCCUUUGGAUUGGACUGCGGCCGAUCAGGCUGUUGGUGAGGUAAUGGCCCACCAAACCUGUAACCGGUACGGGCUUUGAGAGAAGGAGCCCGGAGAUGGGCACUGAGACAAGGGCCCAGGCCCUAUGGAGCGCAGCAGGCGCGAAACCUCUGCAAUAAGGCGAAGCUUGACAGGGUUACUCUGAGUGAUGCCCGCUAAGGGUAUCUUUUG